rnacentral:rRNA from 1 species
UACGAAGGGGGCGAGCGUUGUUCGGAUUUACUGGGCGUAAAGGGCGCGUAGGCGGCCUUGUCAGUCAGGCGUGAAAGCCCCGGGCUCAACCUGGGAACUGCAUUUGUGACUGCAUGGCUAGAGUACGGUAGAGGGGGAUGGAAUUCCGCGUGUAGCAGUGAAAUGCGUAGAUAUGCGGAGGAACACCGAUGGCGAAGGCAAUCCCCUGGACCUGUACUGACGCUGAGGAGCGAAAGCAUGGGGAGCGAACAGG